UGCAAGUCGAACGAGCGAGAGAGAGCUUGCUUUCUCGAGCGAGUGGCGAACGGGUGAGUAACGCGUGAGGAACCUGCCUCAAAGAGGGGGACAACAGUUGGAAACGACUGCUAAUACCGCAUAAGCCCACAGGUCGGCAUCGACCAGAGGGAAAAGGAGCAAUCCGCUUUGAGAUGGCCUCGCGUCCGAUUAGCUAGUUGGUGAGGUAACGGCCCACCAAGGCAACGAUCGGUAGCCGGACUGAGAGGUUGAACGGCCACAUUGGGACUGAGACACGGCCCAGACUCCUACGGGAGGCAGCAGUGGGGAAUAUUGCACAAUGGGGGAAACCCUGAUGCAGCGACGCCGCGUGGAGGAAGAAGGUCUUCGGAUUGUAAACUCCUGUUGUUGAGGAAGAUAAUGACGGUACUCAACAAGGAAGUGACGGCUAACUACGUGCCAGCAGCCGCGGUAAAACGUAGGUCACAAGCGUUGUCCGGAAUUACUGGGUGUAAAGGGAGCGCAGGCGGGAAGACAAGUUGGAAGUGAAAUCUAUGGGCUCAACCCAUAAACUGCUUUCAAAACUGUUUUUCUUGAGUAGUGCAGAGGUAGGCGGAAUUCCCGGUGUAGCGGUGGAAUGCGUAGAUAUCGGGAGGAACACCAGUGGCGAAGGCGGCCUACUGGGCACC
rnacentral:rRNA from 1 species